rnacentral:rRNA from 1 species
UGGGGAAUUUUGGACAAUGGGCGAAAGCCUGAUCCAGCAAUGCCGCGUGUGUGAAGAAGGCCUUCGGGUUGUAAAGCACUUUUGUCCGGAAAGAAAUCCUUGGCUCUAAUACAGUCGGGGGAUGACGGUACCGGAAGAAUAAGCACCGGCUAACUACGUGCCAGCAGCCGCGGUAAUACGUAGGGUGCAAGCGUUAAUCGGAAUUACUGGGCGUAAAGCGUGCGCAGGCGGUUUGCUAAGACCGAUGUGAAAUCCCCGGGCUCAACCUGGGAACUGCAUUGGUGACUGGCAGGCUAGAGUAUGGCAGAGGGGGGUAGAAUUCCACGUGUAGCAGUGAAAUGCGUAGAGAUGUGGAGGAAUACCGAUGGCGAAGGCAGCCCCCUGGCAAGUACUGACGCUCAUGCACGAAAAGCGUGGGGAGCAAACAGGAUUAGAUACCCUGGUAGUCCACGCCCUAAAACGAUGUCAACUAGUUGUUGGGGGAUUCAUUUCCUUAGUAACGUAGCUAACGCGUGAAGUUGACCGCCUGGGGGAGUACGGUCGC